CGAAUGGGGAAACCCACCACUUUAUGUGGUACUUUAAACUGAAUACAUAGGUUUAAAGAGACAACCUGGAGAACUGAAACAUCUAAGUAACCAGAGGAAAAGAAAUCAAUUGAGAUUCCGUUAGUAGUGGCGAGCGAACGCGGAGUAGGCCAGUAGUUUUGUUAGAAAAAUUUGAAUAGUUUGGAAAUGCUAACCAUAGAGGGUGAUAGUCCCGUAUGAGUAAUGUUUAACAAAAUUCUUGAGUAAAGCGGGACACGAGAAAUCCUGCUCGAAUAUAGGGGGACCACCCUCUAAGCCUAAAUACUCUUCAG
rnacentral:rRNA from 1 species